GGGGUUGUAACUCAGUGGUAGAGUGCUUGCCUAGCAUGUGUGAGGCACUGGGUUCGAUUCUCAGCCCCA
rnacentral:tRNA from 2 species